rnacentral:rRNA from 1 species
GGCUGGACUAUUUAUUACCCUUGUCUUUUGCGCACUUGUUGUUUCCUGGGCGGGUUCGCCCGCCACCAGGACCACCAUAUAAACCUUUUUUAUGCAGUUGCAAUCAGCGUCAGUAUAACAAAUGUAAAUCAUUUACAACUUUCAACAACGGAUCUCUUGGUUCUGGCAUCGAUGAAGAACGCAGCGAAAUGCGAUACGUAGUGUGAAUUGCAGAAUUCAGUGAAUCAUCGAAUCUUUGAACGCACAUUGCGCCCUUUGGUAUUCCAAAGGGCAUGCCUGUUCGAGCGUCAUUUGUACCCUCAAGCUUUGCUUGGUGUUGGGCGUUUUUUUGUCUUUGGUUUGCCCAAAGACUCGCCUUAAAACGAUUGGCAGCCGGCCUACUGGUUUCGCAGCGCAGCACAUUUUUGCGCUUGCAAUCAGCAAAAGAGGACGGCAAUCCAUCAAGACUCCUUCUCACGUUUGACCUCGGAUCAGGUAGGGAUACCCGCUGAACUUAAGCAUAUCAAUA